GACGAACGCUGGCGGCGUGCCUAAUACAUGCAAGUCGAACGCUGAAGCGCGGCGCUUGCUCUUCUUGGAUGAGUUGCGAACGGGUGAGUCACGCGUAGGUAACCUGCCUUGUAGCGGGGGAUCACUAUUGGACACGAUAGCUAAUACCGUAUAACAUUGGCUGCCACAUGUCAUUUAUUUGAAAGGGGCAAUUGCUCCACUAUAAGCUGGACCCGCGUUGUCUUAGCUAGUAGGUGAGGUAAUGGCACACCUAGGCGACGAUACAUAGCCGACCUGGGAGGGUGGUCGGGCACACUGGGAAUGUGAGACGGCCCAUACGCCUACGGGAGGCAGCAGUAGGGAAUCUGCGGAAAAGGGGGCAACGCUGGCCGGGCAACGGCACGGGAGUGGAGAAAGGGUUCGGAGCGUAAAGCUCUGGUGUAAGUCAAGAACGGGUGUGAGAGUGAAAAGUGCACACUGUGACGGUAGCUUACCAGAAAGCGACGGCUAACUACGUG
rnacentral:rRNA from 1 species